GGAGAGCAGAACGAACAGAUGAGGGGGGCAGCGCGGGAGAGCUGGACAGGGACUGGCGGGGGACGCUGGGCAGACCCGGGGCCGGGGGAUGAUGAUCCUGCGCAGUGCGUGGUACCCGUGAAAUCUCCCUGGACUUGGGCGCCGUUGUAUCUCCAACGCCUUGGCACGGAGCUGGAUACUUCGCGGGCGCCCAAGAAAUGUGUUAAAUGAAUAUUAACUGUACACACAGGGCGAGGAGGGAACCCAUCGGAGCCUGGCCUACAUUAUCGCACUUGGAAACUCAAGAGACCAGGAGUAGGAUGGUGAGAGAUCCUGGAGCUCAGAGCCAGUUCUUCCGUCUUCCCCUGGGAGGACCUAAAACACCAGCACUGUUUUCCAUUCCGGGAAGAUUUUUCCAAGAUCCCAACUCGGCCAGCAUUUCAGAAUCUCAGGAUCACCUCUCACUAGAAGGUAGGGGACAUUGAGUACAGAAAGGGAAAGAGGACUUAAU